GUUUACAACAUAAUUCCAUAUGUAUGUAUGUACUGAAUGAGAAGGUGUGUCCAAACUUUUGACUGGUAGUGUAGAUCAAGCUCAUCUAGGAUGAUAUGACAGAGGCAUCACAGUAAAGGGCAAAGCCUUUUCUUCUUUUGAUCAAAGAAGUUCAUCUUGCAGGCAUAGAGAAAAUCUGUUGACCUGGAGAAGUCGGCAUGUUACUUUAAGGAAUGCUGCGUCACUGACGUCAUCACGUUAGAGUUGCUCGUCCAAUCACACGCGUCGUCUCGCAAGAACCGCGCGAUACACGAACAGACAAAGAAGUCGUCUUUCUGAGUUUCUACAAUGGCGGCCCGGUAUCGCCAUUCCGACUCACCACAAACUCCUCGCAUAGAACAGCCUGGACAUGACCGACUGGUUCCAGUCAGACCCGCGACAGACACUGAGAAGAAACUAUUGAGCGUUAUCAGCCGGCUGUCUGGCCAGAGAGGACCGCUGGAGGAGAAGCUGGAGGAGAAGCUGGAGGAGAGGAUAGCCGCCAUGGAAGCAAAAUUAAACACUUUCUCCAGCGGCGAGGAAAUUCAGCGGAAAAGAGGAGAGCACAGUCCUAAAAUUGCGACUGGGCUCACCUCACAAUGAGACAGUCAGGACAUAUUUAGUUAAAACUUUGGCUGAAGUCCAGAUGUGGAGACAGACGUCCUUCUAUCUGAUUGUAAAAAGCUUUCUGAAACUCUACAGAGGAACUACCGCUACAGUCAACCCAACAUGGCGGAUCAGGCGGAGGCCAUGAAGUCUUCUGCCCCGAGUCGCCACAGAAGAAAGAGGCUGCUGGAUGCCAGGAAGACAGUCCUUGCUCCAGAUGAAGAGAACUUCUGGAAGGGCAUCACAGCUGACAUGAUGUCAGAUGAAGAGGACGGCAGCGUUGACGGGGUGCGUGGAUGGAUAGUACGGCCUCCAUCCUUCCACAGCCAGGAGCUAGCCAACCUGUGUGCAGCCCUACAGGCUGGAGGCUGAUGUAAAGUACACAGCUCUACAUCACAGGCGUUUUCACAAUGGACAGCGGUCUGAUAGACUGAAGCCACUGAAGUACAACACGGCAGCAGCCAGAAAACAUUUUAAGCCAGAGCUGAUGCUUGAGACCAGCCUGGAGUGAGAGAUGAACUUGGUCAAAAUUUUUUGUACAUUUUUUGUUUUUAAAGACAGUUUAUUUUAAUUUUGGAUUUCUCACUCCCCCCUUGCCCCACACACCCACCCCCCAACUCCACAAACAUGAUUCAUUCAAGGUAUUUCUCCUCACCCGCCAACUAGGAGUUCAUAGCCUGAGAACAACCAAUAACUGUGGGGAACUUAGUAGGUUUUCAGUGAUUCACAGGGUCGAUAAUCUGGCUUUUCAUGCAGUGAUUAGCAGUAACGUUAGCAGAGCUUCAGGUGAGCAGUGUGGCAGCAGACAGACAGUAAAGGAGUGAACAGAGCCUUUACAGAAGAAGUGCACUGCCCUGACAAGGCCUAUGCAAUCCACUGCAAAAUAAGGGGUGAAGCAGUGAGUUUGACUUGAUUGCCUGAACUAGAUCAAAGGCUUUUCUUAGAUGUUCCCAUCUGUCAAGCAUUGCAGGAAUAGGUGUAACACUAGGCAGGCAACUGAAAUCCCAUAGGAACACACAUGUUGUACCAAAACCAGAACUUAAAAACACAUUACCUACCCUGAAGCUGCAAUGCGAAAUGCACUUUUCACUCAGAGACGACUGAACCAAAAAAUGCGUGGCACUGAAUUUCAUUGAUAUAUACUGAUACUUUAUUCCUGAUCCAACUCAGCAUCCUGGCAGAUGAAUAAACUGAUAGUUGUGCACAAGAGUGGAAAAUAAAGCUCUUUUAUGCAAUUCAAUCUGAAUGAAAGGGAGAGAUUUAGAGGGAAAAUGCUACAUUUAGAUGGGAUGAUGGAUUGAGAAAUAAGUUCAGGAUGGACUCUAACCUUUUAGAUAGGGCUACAGGAGACUAAACUUUGUCAGCAUGCUGUAAAUCAAGUCACUGGGAUCAUAAGACGCUUCUCAAUGAGUAGAUGAUACUGCUUUAUAAUGUCCCUGCUCUUUUGAGAAUGUUUAUACAAUGUUGAUGGUCCCACUUUAAGUGAAUAUGAUGGGCAGUGACUGAAUCAAUGGAUCAGAUCCAACUUGGGCUGAACACUUUGGACCUAAGAAUGACUGGCUACACUAAACACACCUGAUUAAAGUAGAACGCGAUUUGCCAAAGGAAAUUUUGGAUUUAUUGGGGUUCUGUUUAACCUUUCUAUGGUCUUCACCUUACAAUGUGAAGUGCUUUGAGAUGACAUAUACUGUAAAUUGGUGCUAAGAUAACACUAAAUAGAACUGAGCCCUAGGACAGACUAAUAACCUGUCCAGGUGAACCCUGCCUUCAUCUUGAGUCAGCUGGGAUAGACAGAGGAUAAAGCAAUGCAUAGAUAAUGGAUGAAUUGAAUUGAAUCGAAUCGAAUCGAAUUGACGUCCAUAUUCGACUAUAAGCAGACCGGAUACCAAGAUUGAUGGAGAUUGAGACAGCUUGUGUUAUGCAAAGAUUUGGAGUUUGGGUUGUGUUACAUUAAUGACAGGAUGAAUACCAGAACGUAACAGAUUGAAUCAGCUCUCAAGAUGUUCUACAGACAUAAUUCAAGAAUCAAGACAUACUUUUAGUUCCAUAUUAAUUCAAGAUCCAUGUUUUACAUGUAGAAUGUUCUAUGAGUGAAUUAAGCAAAUAGGCAUAGGACAAAUAUGCUCUACAACUGUGGAUGGAAGAGAAAUCCUGUUGAUUAAUGUGGACACCGCUGGAUUGGACACUGAAUAAAAACUGGAAAUAAUAUCUAUCAUUCCCACACAUAUGGAACACUGACUGGUCAACAGCCUCAUGGCACGUAGACUUCAUUGUUAAAAUGUGUUGUGAUGAGAGAGGAGAUAAAUUGUUUUUGUUUUUUAGCUUCUUUAUUAUUUUUUUUGCCUGUAACCCAAAUUUAUUCCCUGCUGUGUCUCUGCUGCCACUGACUGCCUCACUGCCCCUGAGGCUUCACUGGUUUUGUUUUUCUCGCUGUCUCCCAUAUAUCUCUUUUCCUGACACAUCGAGUGCGACAGAGCACCCCACAGUGAUAGGAUUUAGGUAUUGAUGACAAUUUGAUGUAAGUUGGAGGAGUCCCAGACAAGAGCUAUUAACUCUCCAGGUGAUAGUAAAAUCCCAUUAGUAUUAUAACAUAUUCACUGUAAGUUACUGAAAAGAAGUGAUCACACCAACAGAUCUGAUCUGGUCAGAUCUUGUUCUGAAAGGACCGAUAUCCUUCCUAGAGCUCUAAGAAUUUUGACAAUUAGCCCCGUGAUGCCUGAAUUUAUUUACAAUUUUAAAAAAAACAUGUUUUGUGUGUUUUUGCUUUCCAGCUGAUGCUAAAAUAAGUGGAGAUUGUUAAUUUAUCUAUUACACAUAGAACAGAUAUAUAAUAAUAACAUAUAUAAUAAUUAGGUCCCAUUCCAACCAGUCCUAUGGGAAACCAGCGCUUGCAAAAGGUUCGGGGGAAUGGAUACCCUAUCUCGGCUGCAGUCUAAAAAACUUGAAAUCUAACGAGGCAGCUGGUGAGGACACACUGCCUGGUGAAUUGCUCAAGGCUGGGUUGCCUGUUCUUGCUAAGCCUCUGCACCACCUUAUUUCCGCUUGCUGGACUACUGGAACUGUUCCUCAGGAGUUCAAAGAUACGAGAAUAACUACCCUCUAUAAGCGAAAGAGUGAUCGAGGUGACUGCAAUAACUAUCACGAUAUCUCUCUGCUUAGCAUCACUGGGAAGGUUCUUGCCAAGAUUGUCCACAAUUGACUACAGAACCUUGCAGAAACACUGUACCCAGAAUCUCAAUGUGGCUUCCGUCCUGGCAGAUUAACUACUGACAUGAUUUUCUGCAUGCGCCAGCUUAUGGAGAAAUCAAGAGAACAGCCACAACCACUGCACCUCACUUUCAUCGAUCUGACAAAGGCUUUUGAUCUCGUCAACAGGGAAUCUCUAUUCACAGUCUUGAUGAAGUCAAGAUGCCCUCCAACCCUACACUCUCUUAUCAGGUCCUUCCAUGAUGGCAUGAAAGGCAAAGUGCAGUAUGAUGGGGACACUAACGCCUUCCCCAUCAACAGAGGUGUAAAGCAGGGCUGUGUUCUGGCUCCCACUUUGUUUGGCAUCUAUUUUGCAUAUGUCUUCAAGACCACAUUUACGAAUAUUCCCAAUCAUGCUGGAGUGUCUCUGCUGACUAGAGAUGAUGGUAACUUUUCCUCUCUAGCCAGAUGCAAAGCCAAAACUAAAGUUUAAGUAAAUGCUGUUGGCGAAAUUCUGCAUGGAGACGACACAGCUUUGUGUGCAAUAUCAGCUUCUAAGCUGCAACAAUUGCUCAGCAGUUUCUCGUCUGCAUGUCAAAGAUUUGGUCUCACGAUCAGCUUGAAAAAGAAAGCUAUUCUGUCCCCAAGUACUGCUCAAGGCUUCUCGAUAAAUGAAAUACCCCUCCCAAAUGUGAAUGCCUUCACAUAUCUUGGUUCUAUCAUGACCUCUAACCUCUGCCUAGAUAGAGAACUUUCAGCAAGACUGGGCAGAGCUGCAAGCAUGUUUGGUAAAUUGGAGAAGCGUUUCUGUAGAACCAAACAUAUUACUAUAUAAACUAAGGUGAGAGUCUAUGAAGCAUGUGUUGUGAGUGUACUGAUGUAUGGAUCUGCAACAUGGACAACAUAUCAACGUCAAGAAGACUGACUGAAUGCCUUUCCCACAAGGAAUCUGAGAGUCAUCCUUGGUGUGACAUGGAAAGACAAAAUGACAAAUGAGACUCUUUUUGACAUCACCAAUUCCCAUCCCUUGUCAUCACAACUGAAAUUCAACCGUCUCCAGUGGUCUGGGCAAGUACACAGAAUGCCUUAAUCCCACUUGCCUCGACAGAUCCUUUACAGUGUUCUGAAAGAGGGUAUGAGGCCCAUUGGCAGACCUCGUACAGGGACAUUCUGAAGAGGGACCUUAAGGACUUCAACAUGGAGCCUUCAUCAUGGACGUCCACCUGCACUGACCAAGCAGUUUGGCGCUCCAAACUACACAAGGAAGUCAAAAAUGACAAAGCAGCAAAUCUAGAGAAACUGAAGAGACGGCGGAGACACCUGUCUACCACUAUCUAUAAAACCUAGCUGAUCUUCUUCGGCAUAGUCAGCAACGACUGAAGCUGGCCUGAACUGAACAUGGUAAAAGAAAAAAAAUUGUGGGUUUAAGGUUUUUUUUAAAAAGAAGUCAUGAAAAUGUCACCUUUGGCUGAGGAAAGUAUUUGCUUCAAGUGUGUUAAUAACCCUUACCUGCAGCCCUAAAACUAAUGUUAGCAAAAAUUUAGAUAUGUUGCUAUGGAAUAGAAUGCUAUAGAAAUGUUUGUUAUGUGUAAAUGUUUCUCAUGUUUUGUUUCUAUAUGGGUGCACUAAUCUGCCUGCAGACAAAAAGAAUCAUCUGAUCCCUA